AUCCAGCUGACUAGUCCCAAAUAGGACGAAGCGCACGUCAAACUGAAU
rfam:Schistosoma rodhaini strain Burundi genome assembly, scaffold: SROB_scaffold0019563